rnacentral:rRNA from 1 species
UUGAACGCUGGCGGAAUGCUUUACACAUGCAAGUCGAGCGGCAGCGCGGGGGCAACCCUGGCGGCGAGCGGCGAACGGGUGAGUAAUACAUCGGAACGUACCCAGUUGUGGGGGAUAGCCCGGCGAAAGCCGGAUUAAUACCGCAUAAGUCCUGAGGGAGAAAGCGGGGGACCGUAAGGCCUCGCGCGAUUGGAGCGGCCGAUGUUCGAUUAGCUAGUUGGUGGGGUAAAGGCCUACCAAGGCGACGAUCGAUAGCUGGUCUGAGAGGACGACCAGCCACACUGGAACUGAGACACGGUCCAGACUCCUACGGGAGGCAGCAGUGGGGAAUUUUGGACAAUGGGGGCAACCCUGAUCCAGCCAUUCCGCGUGAGUGAAGAAGGCCUUCGGGUUGUAAAGCUCUUUCAGCCGGAACGAAACGGUACGCUCUAACAUAGCGUGCUAAUGACGGUACCGGCAGAAGAAGCACCGGCUAACUACGU